UCAGCUGUAGUGUUUUUUUAUUUAUUUUUAUAACACAUUUACCUUUUGGAUCUGGCUUACAAGGGCAUAGUUAUAUGCUGGGCUACAGCUUUCAAAUGGUGUUUACAAUUAGCUCCUGACAUGGAUUAAGCAACCUUGCAGCUUGACUCACUUUUAGCAUCUCACCAAGUUAGACAGUGGAAAUUGUAAAAUUGGUUUAUAUUUAGGAGAAACCUGAGGACAAACACUUUGGGCCUGUUUGGCUGCACUUAACUUUCCUGUUGUGCAGCCAACACAAACAGUAAGUUGAGUCUGUAGCUGCAGCAGCAACGGCUGCGCACAGUGGCUGUACCAGCCAGCCGAACAGGGCCUUUGGAACUUAUCUGUAUAUUAAUUUGUUAUGUUCUUUGAAGGAUGUAGCUUGUCUUCAGUUGCAUAAAAUAUUAAUGAGGUAAAAUUUUCAAUUCCCUGGAUGUUUGGUUAACAGGUUGAUUAUGGCGAAUGUUUCAGAG
rnacentral:lncRNA from 1 species